rnacentral:tRNA from 2 species
GCGGGAGUGGUGGAAUUGGCAGACACGCAGGAUUUAGGUUCCUGUGCUUUUAGCGUGUGGGUUCGAGUCCCACCUUCCGCA